rnacentral:rRNA from 1 species
AGAGUUUGAUCAUGGCUCAGGACGAACGCUGGCGGCGUGCCUCAUACAUGCAAGUCGAGCGAAGGAUUCAGUAGCUUGCUACUGAAUGACUUAGCGGCGAACGGGUGAGUAACACGUGAGUAACCUGCCCUUCAGAUUGGGAUAACAGUGGGAAACCGCUGCUAAUACCAAAUAUAAUCUGACCGUCACAUGGCGGACAGAUGAAAUGCAAUGUGCUGAAGGAUGGACUCGCGCUUCAUUAGCUAGUUGGUAAGGUAAAGGCUUACCAAGGCGACGAUGAAUAGCCGGCCUGAGAGGGUGAACGGCCACACAGGAACUGAGACACGGUCCUGACUCCUACGGGGGGCAGCAGUCGGGGAUAUUGCACAAUGGAGGAAACUCUGAUGCAGCGACGCCGCGUGAAUGAUGAAGGCCUUCGGGUCGUAAAAUUCUGAUGUGAGAGACGAAGAAAGUGACGGUAUCUCACCAGCAAGCACCGGCUAACUACGUGCCAGCAGCCGCGGUAAUACGUAGGGUGCAAGCGUUGUCCGGAAUCACUGGGCGUAAAGGGAGCGUAGGUGGUUAUACAAGUAUUUAGUAAAAGGCAUGGGCUUAACCGAUGUAAGCUAGAUAAACUGUAUAACUUGAGUGCAGUAGAGGUAAGCGGAAUUCCUAGUGUAGCGGUGAAAUGCGUAGAUAUUAGGAGGAACACCAGUGGCGAAGGCGGCUUACUGGGCUGUAACUGACACUGAGGCUCGAAAGCGUGGGGAGCAAACAGGAUUAGAUACCCUGGUAGUCCACGCCGUAAACGAUGAGUGCUAGGUGUCGGGGGUUUAGAUACUUUCGGUGCUGCAGUUAACGCAAUAAGCACUCCGCCUGGGGAGUACGAUCGCAAGAUUGAAACUCAAAGGGAUUGACGGGGGCCCGCACAAGCAGCGGAGCAUGUGGUUUAAUUCGACGCAACGCGAAGAACCUUACCAAGGCUUGACAUCCUCUGAUGUACCUAGAGAUAGGUUUCCCUUCGGGGCAGAGUGACAGGUGGUGCACGGUUGUCGUCAGCUCGUGUCGUGAGAUGUUGGGUUAAGUCCCGCAACGAGCGCAACCCUUGUGUUUAGUUGCCAUCAUUAAGUUGGGGACUCUAGACAGACUGCCGGUGACAAACCGGAGGAAGGUGGGGAUGACGUCAAAUCAGCAUGCCCUUUAUGCCUUGGGCUACACACGUGCUACAAUGGUCUGUACAAAGAGAAGCGAUACUGCGAAGUGGAGCGGAUCUCAUAAAGCAGAUCUCAGUUCGGAUUGCAGGCUGAAACUCGCCUGCAUGAAGUUGGAGUUGCUAGUAAUCGUAGGUCAGCAAUACUACGGUGAAUGCGUUCCCGGGCCUUGUACACACCGCCCGUCACACCACGAGAGUUGGUAACACCCGAAGCCGGUGACCUAACCGUAAGGAAGGAGCUGUCUAAGGUGGGAUUAGCGAUUGGGGUGAAGUCGUAACAAGGUAACC